GCCGGGCGUGGUGGCGCGUGUCUGUAAUCCCAGCUACUCAGGAGGCUGAGACAGGAGAAUCGCUUGAACCUGGGAGGCAGAGGUAGCAGUGAGCCGAGAUCGUGUCACUGCACUCCUGCCUGGGUGACAGAGCGAGACUCAGUCUCAA
rnacentral:SRP_RNA from 1 species